GCUUGCCCCGCCCCACGCCGGUGCGCCGCGGGCCUCUGGUCCGCUGCCGUGUUCGGCCCCGCCCGUCACGUCUAGCUGGGGCUCGCCCGGCGCCUUCCUGGACGCAGACGUAUGAGUCCCAACUCCACCCAGUCCGGCCUGGCCUCUGUCCCCGGGUGACCGCGGAAUGGGGGGGCGGGAGCUAGCGAGCAGGCCCUCAAGCGCGUCUGGCCGCCUCCUUUGUCUUGAUGCCCACGUCUGGUUAGGACCCCUGCUGUCCAUUUUAUUAAAGGAGCUGUAGAAAGCGGCCUGGGGCCCAGCGACCUGCCCAGGGCGGACGAGGAGGCGCGACUGGCCCGAUGCCGCAGGCUCUCUGCCCAGUGUGCUCAGGUGGGAGGGCGGGGACAUGAAUCGAGCCACAGAGUGCCCUGGGCACGGACCCCCCGCCCCCCCCGGCCCCGGGCCCCGAGCCCCGAGCCCCGAGCCCGGCCACCGAAGCCCGUGCCACUCGCCAGCUCCUGCGAGACGAGCCUUUCGAGCGCAGCUCAGGCAUUUGGUUCAGGGUCCUACUGCCGGAGUCGUCUGAGGCCUCCAUCCGUCUGUCGUCACGAAAAAGGUUUUGGGGGGACUAAUAAGCACUUCCUGAAUGCACAUUUGCUCCACGCCCCUGCUGUAGGGAGAGGGUCUGCAGACACUUCAACAAAUAGAAUCCUAGGACCUUACCUGAUCGUAUUGUAUAAAAUGGAUGAAAACAGAGCUAUUGGGUUUGAAGCACUCCUGAACCCUCUCAUGGAACCCUAUGUCUUCCUGGAGUCUACAGAGCUAUUGGGUUUGAAGCACUCCUGAACCGUCUAGUAGAACCCUAUGUCUUCCUGGAGUCUACAGAGCUAUUGGGUUUGAAGCACUCCUGAACCGUCUAGUAGAACCCUAUGUCUUCCUGGAGUUUACAGAAAAAGAGACUCAGGGAUUUUCCCAAAGCACACUGCAAGUUAGGGGCAGGAAUGACAGCCCAGACCUUCUGGUUUCCAGUCCAGGGCUCAACUGCCUAAACAGUGGCAUCUCUUCAGGCAGGCCCUGUCAGAGGCAGCUCCCAAGUUGUGAUGUUGCCACCAGUAUUAGAACACAGUGGUCUCCAAAAUCUUGCCAAUGAAUCCUCCAAGGUGCGUACCAAGUUCCGGAAUAACUGAAAGAACAUCACAUACACAGGCUGGGUACAGUAGCUCACAUCUGUAAUCCCAGCACUUUGGGAGGCCGAGGUGGGAAGACUGCUUAAGGCCAGGAGUUCAAGACCACCCUGGGCAACAUAGUGAGACCUUGUCUCUACCCUCCUCCCCAACCCCCCCCAAAAAAGCACCACCUGUCAAGGAGAAUGGCAUGGCGACAUGGCUGAAACACAGAGCCUUAUCUAAAGACCCACAGGGCUAGAAUGGAGAAAGAACUCUCAGAACAAAUUUCAGAUAGGUAAAAAACCUGGUAAUGUCAGUAGAAAAUGAGAAACAAAUAGUCUGGCUUCCUUCAAGGACUAAAGGACCUGAGUUACUCCCAUACAAUGGUGGAGAGUAGAGCCCACAAGAUUACUGAAUAGCAGAGAUCUUUGCAAUGAAUGCCAGCUUCCAGUACACACUUCCACAGGAAAGUGAAGGUUAAUCUAGCUUAAUUCAGUGCUUUAACUCCUCUAUACCUCUGACAGGAGAAAGAAAACCAGGCUACACUGGAAGUUAAAUCUCAGUUGGACUUAAACUUUUUCUAGUUUUCUUUUUUUUUGGAGACGGAGUUUCACUCUUGUUGCCAGGGCUGGAGUGC
rnacentral:lncRNA from 1 species